CACGACGACGAGUUAUUAACACCAGGUGACACUGCUUUUACGUUAGAAUGUGACUUCUCGAGACCGCGUGAUCUUACGGUAUCGGCGGAUCUUAAUGGUAGUAAGAAGAGAUCGACUAAAUCGAGCAUAGCUCUCAUCGAUCCGGGAAGUGAUAGAAGAAAGAGGUCGACAUACGUGGAAAGCUAUGGGGAUGAGGUUAUUUUCGUGCCGAAGCAAGCAUAUCAAUAAGAAGAAAGUCAGAGGUGCGGUUUUAUUAUAAAUCUUACACCGAUCGACGAACAUUCUCGAUUGAUGAAAACUCACGACGCAUUCUACGUGAAUUUGUUGUUGCUUGUUAUUUAAUUUACGUUAUUUAAAUAAAUUAUGGUAAUUCGUU
rnacentral:misc_RNA from 1 species